rnacentral:rRNA from 1 species
UACAGAGGUCUCAAGCGUUGUUCGGAUUCAUUGGGCGUAAAGGGAGCGUAGGUGGCGCCGUAAGUCAGGUGUGAAAUCUCGGGGCUCAACCCCGAAACUGCACUUGAUACUGCGGUGCUCGAGUACUGGAGAGGAGAUUGGAAUUUACGGUGUAGCAGUGAAAUGCGUAGAUAUCGUAAGGAAGACCAGUGGCGAAGGCGAAUCUCUGGAGAGUUACUGACACUGAGGCGCGAAGGCCAGGGGAGCAAUCGGG